rnacentral:rRNA from 1 species
UACAGAGGGUGCGAGCGUUGUUCGGAAUUAUUGGGCGUAAAGCGCUGGUAGGUGGUUUGUUAAGUCGCGUUGUGAAAGCUCCAGGCUCAACCUGGAAAGUGCGCGCGAAGCUGGCGAACUUGAGUGCCGGAGAGGGUCGCGGAAUUCCCAGUGUAGAGGUGAAAUUCGUAGAUAUUGGGAGGAACACCAGAGGCGAAGGCGGCGAACCUGGAAGGUAACUGGACACUGAGCAGCGAAAGCGUGGGGAG